AUUGAACGCUGGCGGCAGGCCUAACACAUGCAAGUCGGACGGUAGCACAGAGAGCUUGCUCUUGGGUGACGAGUGGCGGACGGGUGAGUAAUGUCUGGGGAUCUGCCCGAUAGAGGGGGAUAACCACUGGAAACGGUGGCUAAUACCGCAUAACGUCGCAAGACCAAAGAGGGGGACCUUCGGGCCUCUCACUAUCGGAUGAACCCAGAUGGGAUUAGCUAGUAGGCGGGGUAAUGGCCAACCUAGGCGACGAUCCCUAGCUGGUCUGAGAGGAUGACCAGACAGACUGGAACUGAGACACGGUCCAGAAUCCUACGGGAGGAAGCAGUGGGGAAUAUUGCACAAUGGGCGCAAGCCUGAUGCAGCCAUGCCGCGUGUAUGAAGAAGGCCUUCGGGUUGUAAAGUACUUUCAGCGGGGAGGAAGGCGACGCGGUUAAUAACCGCGUCGAUUGACGUUACCCGCAGAAGAAGCACCGGCUAACUCCGUGCCAGCCGCCGCCGUAA
rnacentral:rRNA from 1 species